UUUUUUUUCUUUUGCUUUUUAGGGCCACACCUGCAGCAUACGGAAGUUCCCAGGCUAGGGUUCAAAUCAGAGCUGCAGCUGCCAGCCUACAGCACACCCAGAACUACACAGGAUCUGAGCUGUGUCUGUGACCUACAAUGCAGCUCAGGACAAUGCCAGAGCCUUAACCCACGGAGCGAGGCCAGGGAUUAAACCUGCAUCUUCAUGGAUACUAGCCGGGUUCAUUUCCACUGAGCCACACGGGAACUCCUGCAUUUACACUUAAAGACUGAUGGUCUUUACUCUUAAAGACUGAUGGAUGGAAAAACUACGCAGGGUAUAAGAAGAGCCAUCCAUCACAGCUGGGGAAACCCAAGUUCCUUGAUGUCCUGCAAGGCCUUCCCUUUCUGGAAACUGUGCCCUGACUCCCUCAGAAGCCUCAGUUUGUGCACCAUUUGCUUCUCCCUUUCUGUACCAUCUCCUACCCUCCACCACCCCCGCAUCUCUUUCUUCUCUGCCUCUGUUCACGUGGGCUCCAUUACUUGAAGGCAGAGACUCUGACUAGGUCCCAAAGCAAUACCUCUGCCAAGUCAGGCCUGACACUAAGCAGUGGAGAUGCAGGGACGGACCCUGCACAGUUCUGCCUUUAGCAGGUGGGCAGCGUGUUCUGGAACUCUAAGUGUCAAAACCACACCGGACUUCAAUGAUCUAGUACGAAAAAAAAGAAGCUAAAGGAAUAAUCAAUAAUUUUUGAUUUUUCUUUUUAAAUCCCAUAAUAUUGGGCAGGCCUGCAAGCCCCAUAAUUGCCCCGUGUCAAGACCAAGGAGAAGCCCAGAGUCAGCGACAGAGAUAUCAGUGGUUUAAUAGAGGGGGAUCUUACACAUCCAAAGCAAAAGGGUCCUAGAGCGACACCCUACCAUGGAUGGCAGGUGGGACAGGGCAGCAGCCUUUGCUACUGAGAAGAGGUCACCAGUUACAGGGGAAUUGACGUCAGGUUGGCUCAUCGGUUACCAGGGAAACUCCUUACAGCCCUUUUGAUAAGCUAUCAUAGCAGGGAUGUUCUGAUUUAAAGAUUAGAACACUCACUAGCUGGGGCCAGGGGCAAGUACGUAGGCAUUUACUGAUCAGGCUCCAUGAUUAAGAGGGAAGGUCAGUCAGGUGAGUAGGAUGUAGGUGAGGCAGGCACUAGUCUAGCAGGAGAUGGCCAGAGAGCAGGCCAACAGUCAUCCUGGCCUGACCAUACAUAUAAGGAAACAACAACAGUUUGAAUAUAUUGUGUUAAAUAAAAUAUAUUAUUAAAAUUAACUUUAGGGAGUUCCUGCUGCGGUGCAGCAGAAACGAACCCGACUAGUAGCCGUGAGGAUGCAAGUUUGAUCCCUGGCCUUGCUCAGUGGGUUAAGGAUCCAGUGUUGCUGUGAGCUGUGGUGGAGGUUGCAGACAUGGCUGGAUCUGGAGUUGCUGUGGCUGUGGUGUAGGCCAGCGGCUGUAGCUCCGAUUGGACCCCUAGCCUGGAAACCUCCAUAUGCUGCAGGUGUGCCCCCCCCCCAAAAAAAGCAAAAAAAUAAAAUUAAUUUCACUUGUUCCUUUUCACCUUUUUAAAUAUGGCUACUAGAAAAUGUACAAUUACACACAGGGCUCACAUUCUAUUUCUAUUGGACAGGGCUAAUUUAACGGAGAGAUUCCUAGACCUGCUGGUCAUCUGAACCAUCUUAGAAGCUUUUCCUAAAGAGAGAUCCCAGGUCUCCCUUCUCUGCUAAUCCUGAUUGAGUAGGUCCUUAUGGGGGUGUCCUGUACUUUUAUAAUGCCUUCCAGGUUAUUCAAUGGCUAUGAUCAUCCCAGUUUGAAACAACAAUGGGAUGUCUCAAAUCCCAUUGUCUCCCAUGAAAUCCCCUGGCCCAAAAUUAUCCUGGGCUCCCUUCUAUUGCAGGGAUGGCCAAUACUCAAUAUGUAUCAGAAUCACAUGGACAGAUUUAAAAAAUAAAAAUUAACUUUCCAUCUUCAUGAUUUAGAUUCAAUUGAUCUGGGCAUUUUUUUUUUAAGCUCCCAGAUGGGUCCUCAAAUGCAGCAAAUAAUGGAAACCAUUGGUCUACCCAGCACUUACUACAUACAGUGCAGUUUUCCAUGCACUUCUCUGUCUCCUGCCAUAGACUGUGAGCUCCCUGAAGGCAUCGUCUUUGUCACCAUAUCUCUUAGGCCUACAGUAGUGACCUCAGGAGUGGCUGAAUGAACCCUUUAUGCUUUGACACUUUGGCCAUGGCUUCUCUGUCCUGGCUGGGCUCCAGUUUCUACUCUGGCUUUGAUGCUGCCUAUUCUUUGGCUCCACGUCCUUUUUCUGAGCAGCUGGCAUUCCCAGCUUCCUGCCUCCCUCCAGCAGUAAGGAGUGGGCCACGCUGACUCCACUCCCCAAUGCCUCCACUAUCCUCACUACCACCUUUUAUACUAAAGGUGGAAGAAGAAGAAAGAGUGGAUGAAUAAGUUACCCUCUGUCACCUCCUCUGGCUUGAGCCCAAGUCCCAUUACUCAGUACACUAGGAUAGAGAGCAGCCUGUCCAGUGCCCAGAGCACUGGGCCAGGGGGCAGAAGAUCUGUGUGGUCAGCCUAGUGCUACCACUAACUGCCUUAGGAGUGUAACACUUCCUUUCUUUUUUUUUUUUUAAUAUAUUUUUUUAUUUUCCCACUGUACAGCAAGUGGACAAAAAGCUCCAAAGAACACCAAGGAAUGGGGAUAGUGGUUUUAGCGAUUAUUCAGACUUGGGUCCCUGGGCCGAUGCCUUCAGAGCCUUCUCAGGACAGGUCAGAUCCUAGGUCACUACACGUCUGGCUAAAGAGGACAGGCCAGCAGUCUUUCAGGUCUACAUUCAAGAGACAACAACAGCGUGGAAGGCUUUGAACAUCAUGAGUGUGUGCUAAUAAACAAAACUCUGGUUACUGAAGACAUGUAAGUGAUCAAGCACACAGCUUUCAAAUCAGCAUCUUCUUUGUGCAGCUGCACAGCUGCGGUUCAGCGCCACUGUGCAGCUGGUGUGCAGAGUGUGUUUCCUCGUAGCCCUUCUCACCUGGCACAGAGCUGCUCACCCUUUGAGGUCCAGCUCAAGAGCAUCCUCUGUCUCAACACAGUUCCCACCAUUGUGCUUCUGGGCUUAUUUCUGUCUGUUCUGUAUGAUAAUUGUUUAUCUCUCCGGGCUCUUUGUGAGCAUGGACUAUAUCCUGCAUGUUCCCACAGUUCCUUUAAUGACAUCACAAAUGCCUUGGGAACCCUUGAAAGCUUAGAGUCACCACACUGCUGCCUCUUCUACGUGCAUGCCACCCUGACUACGUAAAAGCCUGGAAUUCCUUCCUCUCCCAGGCUUCUCAGAAAACUCUCUUCUUCCCCAUCUCCACUGACCCUAUCCUUAUUUAUUUCAUCAUUAUCUCUUUCUAGAAACAAAUGAAUAAUCUUCAAACAUCUCCUGCACCAAUGCAUGAUUUUGCUCCACUUCAAAAGUCUAGGAUUUUCACAAAGUGGAGAAGUGGUACCUAGGAUUGAUCCCCAAGGUAAACACCCAGGGCUCCACCUCCCUCCAAAGUUAUGCUUCAUAUCCUUUUUUCUCAAACCAGGAGAACAGCUCUCCCCAAAUCAGUCAUGAUGGAAACAGUGUUCUUCCUUUUUUGGCUUGUUAAUUUAUCCUUCCUAAUUGAACAAGACUGGAGAAUACCUCGGAACCCCUUGACUUUGACCCCGAGUAGGAACACAGACAACUGAGCUGCCUCAAGACUUCUAAAACAGAAUACAUCCAUAGUUGAAAAGACUCCCACAUACCUGAUAUUUCCACACCCCGAAGCCCUUUUGGGCACAUUGACCUCCAUCACAAACGAUAGAUAUUACGGUUCUCAUUUUACAAACACCACCACAGAGGCCAGAGCACUAGGGUGGCUUGUGUAGGAUCUUACAGAUGGUUAAUGGCAGAGAUCAGGAAAAAAAAAUCAUGAAUUCCUGAGUUUAGGUAAGGCACACAUCUGAGAAAGCCUUUACUCCAUUACUCUGGAUGCGUGCCGAUUUUAAACUUUUAAGUCAUCACAUAUCUAUAUAUUUUCAACCUCUGUCUAUAGGCAGAAUGCGUUCGAGAGAUUUAUCGGACAGGCAAUCUAGAAAAGAUGACUGUUUUCAGAAGCUACUGCUCCCCAGUCCUCCGCAGGCAGAAAACCUUAAUUUGUCUUCCCAAAUUCACUCCACCUUCGAGAAUAGCUUUGUGGAUGGAAAAGCAAUAAAGACCAGACUCAGUCCAGCUGCAAAUGAUCAGCCUCUUCUCCCCAUCCUGGUAAUUUACAAGCGUCCCCCUAGGUCGGGCAGUUACUGACAGUGCCUAGUGAGCUUGGCUGAAUAACCUGGCCAGCUGGGGUGGGGGUGGGGGUGAAUGCUCUCCUACCCCAAUCCCCAUUUCUCAUUUAACUCUACUCAUUAGAGGAGGCUGUGGCACAAGCCAGGUUGACAUGUCAAUGAGUCACCAAGGAAAUGCAGAAAUUGACAGCUGAGGAAUCCCAGCCCCCAGCCUUCUCCACGACAGCAACCCUCAGAAAACAGGUUUCUCAACCUCCUCGCCAGGUCACUUAAAUGAGUAGUGACAUUUGAGUCCCUCAGAGUAAUUAAUUUCCUCUGUCUCCAAUAGCUCCUCAUACUUUUAAUGAAUUUUUACAAGUCUCAGAUCCUCCAGCCUUCCAGCUCCCUCUCCGGUCCCGUUGCUCCCCAAGGUCCCGUAACAAAUAGCUCCCACUCAUAUUUGCCUUGCAAACUCACAUAAACUGGAAAUGAUAAAUACAUUAUCUAGGCUUUUUAACGGACCAUUGUUUAAUUUUCUAUGCUUGUCUGGCUGGGGAAGAGAUGAAUAUUACCUUGUGGAGAAUAAGAUUUCUAUUCCAUUUAAGGGGGGUUGGGGGUAAUCUAUGGCAGGAACACAGCACUCUGUUCAUCCUAAUAGGCAGCGCUGCUAAUUAAAAGUGUUAGGAAGGGACAUCCAUCCACCAGUCUGUGAUUCAUUCAACAUUAUCCCUGGUAAACAAGAAAUAGAUAUUGGAAUGAAUGCUUCUAAUUUGUCAAAAGAAUAGGCAUUUUCAAUUGUGCCUUCCUGGCUCCCCGCAUGAAGUACAUAAUUCAGUGUUGCCAUCAUUUAAAAGUUUAGGACCUCAAAAUAAUACCACCUGUCCCAUAAGCUCAUAAAUCUCCAAGCCUGUUUUCUAGGUAGAAACAUUUAUCUUAUGUAUGCUUUGACUUUAGUUUCCACCAUCGGGAACGGUGCCGUCUGUUGGUAAAUAUAUUGAAAUGGGACAUUUGAGAAGACAGCGACAGAGCGGUAUUUAAAGUCGAACCCGUCUGAGACAACUUAUUAGGAGAGGCUAAAAUCUGGACAGGAAAACUUAAGGCUCUUCAUGACAUUUGCUAGAUACUUAAAGAAAAGCAGAAAGAGAAAUAUUCUUUCUCUAACCACGAACACAAAGUAGACCAGAGAAAAAUCAUCCUGAGCAUCAAUUAAUUCCCUGAAGGCUCCAUAAACCCUCUAGCGAGUUUUCAGGAGGAACACAAGGCAUGAAAGCCAUCGUUUCGAGAGGACCCUGAGACAUUUGCAAGCAUUUUCCAGAAAGGAAGGUUUUCCUCACACCAGCAAGUCAACGGGCCUCAAAUAGUUACCUUUGUGUUGUGCAAGAGUUCCUCAGUCAUGAAGACAUGGAGUCAGGGCUCCCCACCAUGUCCUGCUGAAUG
rnacentral:lncRNA from 1 species